rnacentral:tRNA from 1 species
AAUGUAAUGACCUAAGCGUAAAGCCCUUAUCGCCAGCCCAAUACUGACCAGCAGUCAGCUCUACAUCCCAAUUUAA